UAGGUGGCUAUGACAGAAAGGAUUAGGAAAAUGCAGAACUGGGAAAGUCCUUCAGGUAAUAUGGCUAGAGAUGCUUUCCUAUGUGAAACUAGUUAUAAACCCACAUUUACACAACAUAAUCUGAGUUAAUAACAGUAGCUCCAAGACAAAAACCUGUAUUGUCAAAGAGCACAUACAUGCUGAGAAGAGCAGUUACAGACUGAAAUGGGCUUUCUCUCCUGGGAAUUCCAAUUACUCUGCAGUGACCCAGACACAUUCUGUUUGCUCUUACAGAAUAAAACCAGGAGAAAAAUAAUUCACUUAAAUUAUAUGUCUUUAUAAUCCUUAUUCAACCUCAUCCUUUUUUUUUUUUUUUCCAUACAAAAAGCAGCAGGGACUCUGUCCAAAUGGAUACCUAUUUGCCAUGGAGUGAUAGUUUUACCUCGCGAUGAACUAUGUGCCAGUUACUAUGAAGAAUUACAUUGGUAGGAUGGAUUAAAAACAAAUGCCCCAUUUAGUGUGUUGUACAAAUUUCUCCCAAAAUAAUAGCAGUGUUCUUGCCUGAUGCACAAAUAGGGCCAUUGUCCUAAAUGGAUUGCUUGCUAAACACCACUUCCUUACAGGUGCUGCCAGGAAAAUAUAAACAACAAAUGGACGAGACUUCAGACUGACAGCCAGAGACAAAGGCUGCUGUCAGAGGCAGGAGGGGGAGGUCAAACAAAGCUGAAAUGUGCCUUGCUGCACAUUCUGUGUCUUCACAUGUGAGGAGUCCUUGAGGAAUGCCCCCACUGGGAGCUGGCUGGCUUGAGCACUAUGGCGAAGGAGGUGAAGCAUCCAGAGCCUCCGAGCCUGAGGAAUUUCAGGAUCUUCUCAAGUUACUUUUCUUGAGAAAGGAAUUCAUCCUUCCUUCACAUGCAUUAGUGGUGCUGUACACACUGAGGUGGAAGAUGCAGUUGAAACCCACAAUUACAUUAACGUUAGCAGCUGCAUCGCAUAUUAGCCAUGUGAAAGCAAGUGCCUGAGCCUUAUAGGGCAGGAUGUGGCUGCCCUAAGGCAAACUGAAUGCUUCCACACCAACUUCUGAGCUUGGAAUAGGCCUGAGACAUAACAUCACUGUCAAUCAUGCCAGGUUCCUCCUUAGAUUUCAGGGGCCCAGAACAGGUACCACUGUAUUUUGCCACCUUCUUUCACCUUUCUAAGAAUAUGAGGACUCAAGUGGUUUAAAUUCUUUUCUCUGUACACGCAAUGAAAAAAUGUUGUGUUCCACUCCUUUGCCCCCUGCA